AAUUUUCCAGUGAGAUAUUGUGAUCAUGAAGGUGGUUUUCCCAGGUGAGGCUCAUCCACUGCACUUCAGGUGUGCUGUCUCCUGAGAUUUCCCCAAAUGUGAGAAACUCAACUGCAUCAUUUGUGGNAGAAGAGAAAUAAAUAUUUUUA
rnacentral:snRNA from 1 species